rnacentral:rRNA from 1 species
GUCCACGCUGUAAACGAUGAGCACUAGGUGUAGCGGGUACUCAUUCCUGCUGUGCCGCAGCUAACGCGUUAAGUGCUCCACCUGGGGAUUACGGUCGCAAGACUAAAACUCAAAGGAAUUGACGGGGGCCCGCACAAGCGGUGGAGUAUGUGGUUUAAUUCGACGCAACGCGAAGAACCUUACCUGGGCUUGACAUACCCGGACAUACAUGGAAACAUGUCCUUCCCCUUCGGGGGACCGGGUGACAGGUGCUGCAUGGCUGUCGU